CAAAACCCACACACAACACCCGCACAGCACCCACAAACAAACAGCACACACACACAAACAGCACCCUGACAAACACACAACACCCACACACAGCACACAAACAGCACACUAACAGGACCCGAACAAACACGCACACACAAACACCCUCUCACACAUGCACACACACAGCACACUACCAGUUCCCUCACACACAGCACACUAACAGCACUCUCACAAACACACACAAAAACACCGUCACCCACAUAGCAC